rnacentral:rRNA from 1 species
CGGAGGAUCCAAGCGUUAUCCGGAAUCAUUGGGUUUAGAGGGUCCGUAGGCGGUUUUAUAAGUCAGUGGUGAAAUCUGGUCGCUCAACGAUCAAACGGCCAUUGAUACUGUAAGACUUGAAUUACUUGGAAGUAACUAGAAUAUGUAGUGUAGCGGUGAAAUGCUUAGAGAUUACAUGGAAUACCAAUUGCGAAGGCAGGUUACUACAAGUAUAUUGACGCUGAUGGACGAAAGCGUGGGGAGCGAACAGGAUUAGAUACCCUGGUAGUCCACGCCGUAAACGAUGGAUACUAGCUGUUUGGAGCAAUCUGAGUGGCUAAGCGAAAGUGAUAAGUAUCCCACCUGGGGAGUACGCUCGCAAGAGUG